AACGAACGCUGGCGGCAUGCCUAACACAUGCAAGUCGAACGAUGCUUUCGGGCAUAGUGGCGCACGGGUGCGUAACGCGUGGGAAUCUGCCCCUUGGUUCGGAAUAACUCAGAGAAAUUUGAGCUAAUACCGGAUGACGACGUAAGUCCAAAGAUUUAUCGCCGAGGGAUGAGCCCGCGUAGGAUUAGCUAGUUGGUGGGGUAAAGGCCCACCAAGGCGACGAUCCUUAGCUGGUCUGAGAGGAUGAUCAGCCACACUGGGACUGAGACACGGCCCAGACUCCUACGGGAGGCAGCAGUGGGGAAUAUUGGACAAUGGGCGAAAGCCUGAUCCAGCAAUGCCGCGUGAGUGAUGAAGGCCUUAGGGUUGUAAAGCUCUUUUACCCGGGAUGAUAAUGACAGUACCGGGAGAAUAAGCUCCGGCUAACUCCGUGCCAGCCGCCGCCGUAACAC
rnacentral:rRNA from 1 species